UAGAGAACCUCGGUUAUGUAAUUAUUACCCCGGUAUGUCUGUUUUUCGAGAAGGCGAUUCCGACGCGAUUCGUUUUACCGAACUGCAAGUCAUUAUUUUUUUUCCCGCAUUCACAAUUGACCAUUAUGACGGAAGCCUGGAGGCUCUUCUAGGUGUGAAGAUAUUUAAUAUGUCUAGGGACAUCCUAAUAUUGGCCUAAUGGCCUUCAGUUCGGAGAAAGUCCAAAUAAUAAUGCAUAUCAAUAAGAACCGCAAAGUGUAACCUACGCAGAUAUUUAAUUAACUGACAUUUGUCAAUGUAUCAAUUCAUUGACACGAUAUCGUCCACCUCAUCUUUUAAAAGAGAAGAAUGGCACUAGGAAGGUUGAUAUAUUACAGAACAGAUCGUUCAUCUAUAGGCUAUGUGCAUAGCACUUUGUUUUAAGCAUCAAUUUGUUCUUAACCAAACUGAGUGCAGCACCUGUUCAACUGUAAUAUCCCUCAACACGGGGAUGACGAUUUGCACGGGAUAAGUAUUAUCAGAGGACCUUGGAGUUUGUCGGGAAAAAAUAGUUUUUUAGGGCUGAGAUAAUAACCUUCCGGCCAAGUAAAAAUUACUGACUUGGCAGAUUCAGACGGUACUAAAAUGACAAAUGCGGUGAUUUAUGCUCGUGCAAAUAAUUAUAUUACCUGAGCUCCCCCAGUAAAACUCUUCCAGUUAACACUAUUAAUGUUUGCCUUUACUGUGGGAAUUGUGGUCGAAUCAAUGCAAAAUUAGCCACUUUCAAUGCAACAUACCUGAAAACAAAACAAGCUAUGCAAGUUAUUUUGUUGUAGGCAGAACGCAUCGGAAUAUGAUUCUAUUGCAUCUAUAUAAAAAAAAAAAGCGGUGUGGCAGAACCAAUCAGAGCUGCAUUAGGCCUAUAUGCAAAUAGACCAUUGCCAUAUAUGGAUCUGUGCCAUUUUCUUUGAACUGGACUGUGUAAACAGCAUGAUAGGUCAUGAGUAAAUGCGCUUGUUUUGAGAUCAAAGCGAGAGCUGCAUAUUUGUUCAUAUCCUUUGCUAGUUAGUGAGUUAUUAGACCAGUUAUAGAUCAUUUGUAGUCAGCAAUGGGCACAACACGUGCAUUUCUAGACAUCUUUGAAAAGGGAGUCAGGUAAAGAGCUUUUUUUUUGUCUUGAAGGGGUGGUGUUGUAUUUUGAGACUGUCUUGAAUAAGCUACAUUUUCACUAUUCAAGUUUGAGCUCAGCAGACUUGAAAUUUCCUCAGUGCCGGGAACACUAAGGGAACGUUGCAUUUAUGCCUAAGGCUGAGACAAUAAGAAGACACAGUGGCAGAAUAAAUUCAACCACACCUUUGUUUCAUUACAAAACUGGAGAGAAACAUCUGUCCGGUGGAGUCCACAAAGCAUAUUGCAUGUAACAAACAGUUACAUGACCUACAUAAUGGUCAAUCAAGUUAAUGUUGCCGACACGUAACACUUUUUUGGUUACUACAUGAUACUAUAUAUGUUAUUUGUAGUUUUGAUGUCUUCACUUCUAUUCUACAAUGUAGAAAAUAGUAUUUUUUUUAAGUAAAAAAAAACCUUGAAUGAGUAGGUGUGUCCAAACGUUUGACUGGUAUUGUAUGUGAUAAGCAAAAUUGACACAGUUACAAUAGACAUCCACCAUAUUGGUGUUACCUGCAUUUUGUUAGCUCACAAUAAACACAACAGUUCAAUGCUGAGUAAAGAAGGUUAGUACUGUACAGGGAUGGUGAAAAGUAUUUAAACCAUCCUGCAGAAGUAAUUAGCAACCAGAAGGGGGCUCUCUUGCGUCACACUAGUGGUUGCCAAACACUUCCAUGCUGUGGUUACGCACCUAAAGCCUUUGAAUAUAUCUUUCUGCGGCUUACUAACUAAACAAAAGCAAUGUUGUUCAGCACAAAUACAACAUUAUCACUCUACUCCACCAACAGGUUAGUGCAGUGUUCCUUCAUCCUGAUCCUGGGGAAUCAAAGGGGGCGGGGAGGAAGAGAGCCAGUGUGAAGCAGCAGAGUCUCAGCAGCAACCUCUUCAUCCUGGAAAGAGCGGACCAAUCAGGACAGCCAUAUUUCAGUCCCGCCCCUCAGGUCCAGGAAGCCCUUGUUGCCAGCCAGAUAAUCUUGUCAAGCUAUCGCAACAUCAGGCUCGUUCCACCAGGCUACCUUCCAGGACCAAAUCCAGUGAAAGGUGGUGAGGGGGACAGAUCCAGGCAUUGGUGGACCCUGCCUAGUGUUCAUCCUCCAGAACCCUCCUUGUCCUGACUUUUGUGUCCAGAGAGGAACCAGACUCAAUCAGAACCACUAGUCCCAGUACUGCUAGAUUAAAGACCAGGACCCCCAGUGUGGAUAUUGCACAGAGGCUCUGCCUGUGCCUGCUGCCCAACCCCUGGAUUGUCUGUCUGUCUGUGUAGUGUCUGUCUGUCUGUGUAGUGUCUGUCUGUUUAUGUAGUUUAUGUAGUGUCUGUCUGUCUGUGUAGUUUAUGUAGUGUCUGUCUGUGUAGUGUCUGUCUGUGUAGUGUCUGUCUGUCUAUGUAGUGUCUGUCUGUCUGUCUAUGUAGUAUCUGUCUGUGUAGUGUCUGUCUGUCCUGUCUGUCUAUGGUCUAUGUAGUCUGUCUGUCUGCUAGGGUGCUCUGGUCUCAGGCUGUAGCUAUCUGUCUAAGGAACUACCUUCAGCACAAAUGCUUCUGAAGGAAUGUUCUACCUCUGAUGUGCCUUGUUUAAAUGAAUCGCAAAAUAAAAAGUCAUUAUUGGGUAAAUAUUAUUUAAUAACCCUGUAGUAAUUUUUUUGUGAAUAAGUAGUGGGUUGUGAAACAAAACAGAAGUGAAGAGAACUACUGUUUAACUGUAGCUACGGUACUUUAGUGAAGAUAAUGAAGGGUUUUGGUUAUCACAUUAUUUUCUUCUACUACUGCGUAGUUUAGAAGCAUUUAGAAUCAUGUUGAUGUGACAAGGAAUUAUGGGUAAAAAAAAAGAUAUACCUUUAUUUCAGCAAAUCAUGCCAUUUUCUUUAAUUUCUUUCAUAUAAGUUAUAAUUUUUUAUACUCCAAAGUAUUAUGCUUUUAUUUUCUUUCAUUGUUUAAAUUCAUGUUCUAAAUUACCACUGCACAAGUUGUUAUAAAGCAACUGAAAGCCUUCGGUGGGUCACAGCACAGAAACGUUGGUGAGCUGUGCAUCUGGAACAGUGAAAGGCGUUUGCUUCGUAGUUCACAGGCCAACCCUUUCAUUUCUUCCUUAAUCUGCACCAUGAAAAACAACAAGAAAAGAGAAAAUAUGGACAGGUGAAACAUCUCUCCACUAGGCACCUGUAUUCCUUCUACUGUGUUUUCAGAUGAGCGCAGACUGGAAGGAGAGGAGACAGAGGAAGUCAUUUUAAAGUAUUGAGAUGCACCCCUCUGGCUCAGGCAAUGGUACAACAUGCUACUCCAAGUUCUCUGUGGUUAUUUUCCUCUGAGGUCAGCAUUGGCACACUAAACUGAAUUCACAUCUGUCUGAUGGGGGGAGGACAAUGUUCCUAUUUACACCACAAUGUGGCAGGCCUGCUCCUGCUUCUCAGGGCCAGGGGAAGCUGUAGAAUGUAGACUAGUUGCAGCUUGGUUUACUACAUUUUGGGCAUGGGGGUUGCGCUGUGACCCCCUGAAAACAAAUUAAAAUGAAAACUCAAACCACAAAUUUCUAAACACAAUCAAGAAUGUACUGUAGCAACCAUGUGUUUAUAAGCACCAAUAUCAACUCUGCCACAUGAGCACACUUUUGUGGCACAGCACGCUGGGCUAUGGCCGGAAGGUUGGCGGUUUGAAUACCACUACGGACAAGCUCACUUUCCCUGCUUGUUAACUGUUGAUAAAGUAUGGCGGUUGUUGUCUGAUACAAUACAUUAGAGCUGGAAUCCUUAAUAUUGCAGAAUUUGUGCUGCAGUUUUAGCAUGCUGCUCAACACUCAUCACCUUUGUUUUGUC
ensembl:lncRNA